rnacentral:rRNA from 1 species
AUUGAACGCUGGCGGCAUGCCUUACACAUGCAAGUCGAACGGUAACGGGUCCUUCGGGAUGCCGACGAGUGGCGAACGGGUGAGUAAUAUAUCGGAACGUGCCCAGUAGUGGGGGAUAACUGCUCGAAAGAGCAGCUAAUACCGCAUACGACCUGAGGGUGAAAGGGGGGGGUCGCAAGACCUCUCGCUAUUGGAGCGGCCGAUAUCAGAUUAGCUAGUUGGUGGGGUAAAGGCCUACCAAGGCAACGAUCUGUGGUUGGUCUGAGAGGACGACCAGCCACACUGGGACUGAGACACGGCCCAGACUCCUACGGGAGGCAGCAGUGGGGAAUUUUGGACAAUGGGCGCAAGCCUGAUCCAGCAAUGCCGCGUGCAGGAAGAAGGCCUUCGGGUUGUAAACUGCUUUUGUCAGGGAAGAAAUCUUCUGGGCUAAUACCCCGGGAGGAUGACGGUACCUGAAGAAUAAGCACCGGCUAACUACGUGCCAGCAGCCGCCGUAA